rnacentral:lncRNA from 10 species
UCUUAGCAGGACUUUAGCCUUUUUGGGGUAGUUUAAGUCUGAGUAAUACGAGGGGGAGAGGGACAGGUGUGGUGGCUCAUGCCUGUAAUCCCAGCACUUCGGGAGGCUGAGGCAGGAGGAUUGCUUGAGUCCAGGAGUUAGACCAGCCUGGGCAACACAGGGAAACCCUGACUCUAUAAAAUUAAAAAAAAAAAAAAAAGAAGGGCCGGGCAUGGUGGCUCAUGCCUGUAAUCCCAGCACUUUGGGAGGCUGAGGUGGGCAGAUAACCUGAGGUCCAGAGUUUGAGACCAGCCUGACCAACAUGGAGAAACCCUGUCUCUACUAAAAAUACAAAAUUAGCCGGGCGUGGUGGUGCAUGCCUGCAAUCCUAGCUACUCGGGAGGCUGAGGUGGAGGUGCUUGAACCCAGGAGGCAGAGGUUGCAGUGAGCUGAGAUUGCACCAUUGCACUCGAGUCUGGGCAACAAGGGCAAAACUCCGUCUCAAAAACAAAAACAACAACAAAAAAAGAAAAAUACUAACCUAUUAACCUUAUCAAGAAGAGUGUUACUUUUCAUUCUGAAAGCUGGAGUAACAACAAUUGUAGAUAAUAAAAAAAAUACUAAGGCUCGAAUACCUAUUUUGUGCUAGGUGCCUAAUUCAAACAGGUAAUAUGGACAUCUUAAAAACUGAUGGUAAUGGCCAGACUCUAUGCAGACUAUGAAAAGACUAGCUUAUUGCAUUAUCACUCUGGGCAGAAAGACUUGCAUAGAAUCACAAAAUCAAAAUAUUUAUUUUGUUCUUUUUCAUAUGACACUGUUAAAACAUUCCUACUACAGCAAUACUGCUCUCCAGGAGCUUACAA